UGGGGAAUUUUGGACAAUGGGCGAAAGCCUGAUCCAGCAAUGCCGCGUGUGUGAAGAAGGCCAUCGGGUUGUAAAGCACUUUUGUCCGGAAAGAAAUCCUUGGCUCUAAUACAGUCGGGGGAUGACGGUACCGGAAGAAUAAGCACCGGCUAACUACGUGCCAGCAGCCGCGGUAAUACGUAGGGUGCAAGCGUUAAUCGGAAUUACUGGGCGUAAAGCGUGCGCAGGCGGUUUGCUAAGACCGAUGUGAAAUCCCCGGGCUCAACCUGGGAACUGCAUUGGUGACUGGCAGGCUAGAGUAUGGCAGAGGGGGGUAGAAUUCCACGUGUAGCAGUGAAAUGCGUAGAGAUGUGGAGGAAUACCGAUGGCGAAGGCAGCCCCCUGGGCCAAUACUGACGCUCAUGCACGAAAGCGUGGGGAGCAAACAGGAUUAGAUACCCUGGUAGUCCACGCCCUAAACGAUGUCAACUAGUUGUUGGGGAUUCAUUUCCUUAGUAACGUAGCUAACGCGUGAAGUUGACCGCCUGGGGAGUACGGUCGCAAGAUUAAAACUCAAAGGAAUUGACGGGGUCAUAGCUGUUUCCU
rnacentral:rRNA from 1 species